rnacentral:rRNA from 1 species
GACAGAGGGUGCAAACGUUGUUCGGAAUUACUGGGCGUAAAGCGCGUGUAGGCUGCUUCGCAAGUCGGGUGUGAAAGCCCUGGGCUCAACCUAGGAAGUGCACUCGAAACUGCGGAGCUGGAGUCCUGGAGAGGAGGGCGGAAUUCUCGGUGUAGAGGUGAAAUUCGUAGAUAUCGAGAGGAACACCGGUGGCGAAGGCGGCCUUCUGGACAGUGACUGACGCUGAGACGCGAAAGCGUGGGGAGCAAACAGG